rnacentral:lncRNA from 1 species
GACAUCAACACCGGUCAGAAAUAUUGGCACUUGUUAUUUGUGUUAACUAUUGUUUUCUAGAAACCAUUUCAAUAACUGAGAGGCAUGUGUCAUGCAAUAGCCAGGAUCGGGUCGAACUGAUGUAUCGGGAGACUGCUUGGACUAGUUUUAACUUUUUUAUUUUACAUGCUUGUUAAUAAGUUUAGAAAGAUCGACAUUAUGUUCAUUGCUUUGUUUGGUUUGAGAUGCUUUUCUCCUUAUUAUAAUAUUAAAAUAUCCUACUUGGCUCACAACUGGGCAAAAUAUGUGCCAAUUGGAGCUUCACCUGAGAAAGAUUUGGACUGACCUUAUGUCAACAAGACUUGGCCCUAGAUUUGGUGCAGCUGCUGCUCUUAUUAGGACAGGCCAGUGAAUUCUUAUCCAUUACUCAACACUCUUCCAGCAAUUAUUCCCACUGUUCUCGGAGAAUUAAGUCCAGACAUGGGACAUCAUCCCGUUCAAGUAUUUGUUUUAGCUUCCAUCUCUAUGAAUCUUUAUCACUCUUUAUGUAACUAUUUGAUUCACAUAUUAAACUUCUAGAAUAAACUUGCGUGUGGUCAUUUUUUGAACUUCAUUUGAGCCCAUUCUAUCUCCAUAUUUCUGUUCUUUCUAGAUUGGUUUGCACAUGUUGUGGAGAAGAUGAAUAGAAUCUGGAAGUUGUUUGCACUACAGUCCCUUGGUUAGUCCUCUCUCUCGAAGUUUCCUUUACUUGAUGCUGACCCUCUUUUCUUGAUUCUGUUGACACAUAAAAAUUCAGUCCAAAUCAAACGGCUCAAAAAAUGAAGCUCAAUUGGAGGGUCCCCAAAUCAGAUAGCCCAAAGAACGAAGCCCAAUCAAACAAUUCAAGAUGAAGGUCCAAAUAGGGAGGCCCAAGAACGCGGUAACGCCAUCGCCCAAGUUUGCAAGUCGUCCAGAAUCUAAGCGAAUGGAGUGCCAUGCAGUCGCCCAGAGCUGUUACUCUAUUCUCGCCCAAACCUUCAAGUUGCCCAAGGUCUUAGUAAACAUAAAGUGUUGUGGUUAUCAAAAAGUGCAGUUAUCAAAGCAGUUAUUAAAGUAGCCCUAUCACGUUCCACGAUUCAAGGAAUUCAAUCGAAAACGGUUGAACGACAAAGAGUAAUGGCAGCAGUUAAAAAGGCAGUUUCAUGACAAGUUGGCCAUUACGAGGAAAGUGGGCAGUUGUAGAACGAUCAAGCAGUUUUUAGGCGGUUGAUCACAAAGAGAUCAUCCAUGGAGUAUAAAAAGGAGAAAAGACAUAGAGCAAAGGACCGAAUCAAAAAACUCUCGAACAGAGAACAUGUAAUUUUAAUUUUCUUAGCUUAGAUUUAAACACUUCUUUCAGUAACUCGUGUACUUGCGCCCCUUGGAGGCAUUCUAUUUUUAAUUUCCAAUUGUAAAGUCAUCGCCAAUAAAAGAACACCCCUUUUUGGGACUUUGUCUCAAGAGGUUUGUCCCUUACACAAUCGUCUGAUCUCUUUUAAUUGUUAGCGACUAACCCGCGCAAAAUAAUUUGGCACGCUCGGAGGGACAGUGGUGUUUGGUGUUGAAAAUACAAAAGGUGAAACAAUAUGCCUCAGAGAUCCGAUAAGGAAGCAGCAAGUCAGGGAGGAAUCCAGUCUGUGAUCGAGCGAUAUGAGGAGCAGCAUGCCUCUCCACGAAUAGAUGGACAGAAUCAGAGCAGUAACAGUUGUUACGAACCAAUGACGGAGUUGAGUCCUCGAACCAUGCGUGCAUUACUUGGAGAACUCACACAGGACGUCGUUGAACAGGUAAAUCUUCGAAGUAUUCAUAAUAUGGAAAGAUUUACCCAAAAUGAGAUUGCACACUAUGACAACAUGGUGAAACAACUAAACACUUUGAACGAAACAAUGAAUAAGUUAGUAAGCCAAAUAAGUCAACCGGUUACACCUCUUGCAAAUCACUUUCAAAUUAAGACAAUUGUGGGACAUAAUCCCUCAGUCCUAAAUCCGAACCAAGGGGUAGAACCACUUUCUGGUCCCUCUACUUCAAACCAAGGAGGUACUGCAGUGCCAAAUCAGAACAAUGGUAGUGGUAUGCCUAACUUGGGGGGUAAUCCAAAGAUAAGAGAUAAUGUCCUAAACAAUUGACAGAAUACCCCACGUGUUAAUGAGGGAAUAGAUGUUCAGGCUAAUGGUAAUGACCCUAAUCAUGCUAACUUUGUUGCCAAUCAAGGACCAAACAUCAGGCAUCAUGCAAAUCAACCGGUUAACCAGCCUGUAGGAAUUCCAUAUAACCCCAACGUCAUGUUGAGGAAUCAGAUUAUGGAAAUCGUACAGGAUCAGAUGGCUUUUGGGGUGCGUCCCGUCAUUAGGCCAACUUACACAAAGCCAUAUCCUGAUUGGGUAGACCAAGCAUAUCCAUGGCCUAGAGGGUAUAAAGUGUCAGAAUUCUCACUAUUUACCGGUUUAGGAGAGGUGUCUAAUCUAGAACACAUAGGGCGAUUCACAUUGCAAAGUGGUGAUGUAACCGAUUACCAUAAAAUGAAGCUAUUCCCUAGUUCAUUAACAGGAGUAGCUUCCUCCUGGUUCAUCAACUUGCCAGCGAACUCUGUUCAAACAUGGCAACAAUUGGAACAGCUAUUUCACGCUCAGUUUUAUAAAACUGAGUCUGAAGUCACUUCGGCUGAUUUGGCGAAUCUACGUCAAAUGCCAAACGAAUGGGCAGAAAGUUUUCUCCAAAGGCUCAAGACAGCAAGAAGCAAGUGUUUUGUACCUCUGCCUGAAAAAGAAUUUGUCAAAAUCGCUCAGGGCUGCUUGAGCUUUGAUUUAAAAAAGAAAUUUCAGGACAAGGAAAGUCUCUGUAUAUACGAAAGUCGCUGUAUACCCUCAUCGCUCCAUCAAUGCCUGAUCUUUUGGAAUAACAAAGGUGAAGCAAAGAUGGUACAGGCCGAUCAUAGGCCUUUCGUCGCAGAAGCAAACUCGGUGGAAAAGAUCAUGUACGAAGGAAACUAUGGACAUGUCAGGGUAGUACAAGAUGGGGAAGAAACUCAAAUUAUCGUGCAAAGCGAAGAGCCAUUUUCAGUGGACGCACUCACUAAAAUGUUCAUACAGAUGAGGCCAAAUAUAGUGGCACUGGAAGAGCCAGUAAUUGGCAAAAGAAUAAUCAAGGAGUCUUGAAUGGAUUCUAAGUUAUAAAAGCAAAUGGCCGAUAUUCAGGGCUUCAAAAUCAGACUAAUGGCUUUCAAUAAGGAAUGCAAUGGCAAGGCGAAAGAAGAGACAACCCUGAAAGCGCUGAAGGACAAAUUAACAGUAUUUGAGUUAGAACAAAGCAUUGGUCGAGAAGUCAACAAGGUGGACUGUUUAGAAGAAGAAGUACUUACAAAGGAACUGGACGACGAAGUAAUGCGGAUCAUCAAACCUGGAUACGCUCAAACAUAAGACCCUCUGAUCAAAGUAAAUAUUGGCAAUGAAGGAGAAGAUCGUCCAACAUUCAUCAACCAGAUGCUUGAUCAAGAGUUUAGUGAUAAAUUAAUUGCUUUGUUAAAGGAGUAUAAAGAUUGUUUUGCUUGGGAAUAUGAACAAAUGCCUAGUUUAGAUAGAGACUUGGUGGAACAUAGGUUACCAACUAAGCCUAAUUUUAAACCUCAUAGGCAGCCUCCUAGACGUUUUGCUCCUAAUGUGCUCCCUGAGAUUAAGAAAGAGAUAGAGCGAUUAUUGAAAGCAGGUUUUAUUAGAACAGCCAGAUAUGUCGAAUGGUUGUCCAAUAUCGUGUCAGUACUAAAAAAGAAUGGUAAACUAAGGGUGUGUAUAGACUUUAGGAAUUUAAACAUAGCCACACCCAAAGAUGAGUAUCCAAUGCCCACGGUGGAUUCUUUAGUAGACUCGACUGCCGGACAUGUCAUGUAUUCUUUCAUGGAUGGAUAUUCAGGAUACAAUCAAAUUUAUAUAACUGAAGAAGACAUACACAAAACUGCUUUUAGAUGCCCUGGGUCUCUAGGAUGUUUUGAAUGGGUGGUUAUGCCUUUCGGCCUAAAAAAUGCAGGGGCAACUUAUCAAAGGGCAAUGAAUUUAAUCUUUCAUGAUAUGAUAGGUAAGUUUGUUGAAGUGUAUGUAGAUGACAUAGUAGUCAAAUCCAUUAAAGAAGAUGACCAUUUCGAACAGUUAAGAUGUUCGUUUGAGCGAAUAAAGAAAUAUAAGCUAAAGUUGAAUCCCUUGAAGUGUGCAUUUGGUAUUAAUGUAGGGAAUUUUCUUGAUUUCUUAGUACACAAGAGAGGGAUUGAACUUGAUAAAAAUAAAGCGAAGGCCAUUUUAGAAGUCAAACCACCUAACAACAAAAAAGAAUUGCAAAGGUUUCUAGGCCAAGAAAACUUUUUAAGACGCUUUAUUUUUAACUGUGUAGGGCGAAGUAAAGUCUUUUCGUCGUUCUUAAAGCUGAAAAAUCAAGACGAAUUCGUCUAGAAAGAAGAACAUCAAAAGGCUUUUGAAAGCCUGAAGACAUAUUUAUCAAGUCCACCAGUGUUGGUGUCACCAAUCCAAGGACAGCCAAUGAAAGUGUAUGUAUCGGCUGAAAAAGAAUCAAUAGCUGGAAUGGUCGCACAGGAAGACCAAUUUGGUGAAGAAAGGGCAAUUUACUAUUUAAGUAGACGGUUAACGAAAUGUGAAUGUAAUUACUCUGCUAUCGAAAAAUUAUGUCUUGCAUUGUAUUUCACAUGUAUAAAAUUAAGGGCUUAUUUACGGCCCGUAACCAUUUAUUUAAUUUCUAAAGUAAAUUUAGUUAAAUAUAUGUUCUCGCGCCCUAUUUUACACCAAAUGGUAGGCCUUUGGACACUAACUUUAUUAGAAUUCGAGAUACAAUAUAUACCUCAAAAGGCAGUUAAAAAUCAGGCUUUGGCUAACUUUCUAGCCGAUCAUCCGUGCCUUGACAUGCUUGAAGAAAUUGAACUAGAAAUCAAUUCGUUCGAGCUAAAAUCUUAGGUGUUGUAUUUUGAUGGGUCAAAAACCUCUAAAGGUGCAGGAGUAGGAGUAGCAUUGAUUAAUCCUUUAGGAAUUUGCUACAAGUUCGCAUUCACUUUAGACAGAAUGUGCACCAAUAAUCAGGCCGAAUAUGAAGCCUUAAUUGUAGGCCUAGAACUAAUGAUAGAUAUAGGAGUAAGAAAUGUGAUCGUUAGGGGCGAUUCUCAAUUGGUAAUCCACCAAUUGAUUGGUGAUUUUAAAUGCCAAAGUGAUUCCAUUAUAAGUCAAUAUGAGAUCGCCCAAGAAUUAUUAGAAGAAUUCGACCAAGUAGAACUUCAAUGCGUUAAUAGGAUAUAUAAUGACGUGGCAAAUGAGUUAGCCCAAAUGGCCUCAGAGUACUCAAAGGUUUUGAAUUGGAAGUCUACUUGUGAGUAUGAAAUCAUAUUGCCCGUGACUCAAAGAAGGGCGAGAAAGAUUGAACUUCAUUGCAUACAAGAUGGAGAUGCAAUGGAUUGGAGAACAGAGAUUAAAAGGUUCCUUAAAGAACCUAAUGGAUGGAUUAGUAGAAAAAUGAAGCUGUGUUUGCUGAACUAUACACUAAUAGAUGAAGAGUUGUUUAAGAAGCGCUCUGAUGGUGUAUUACUAAAGUGUGUAAGUUUGCAAGAAGCCAAGACGAUCAUGGCUGAGGUGCACGAAGGGAUAUGCGGAGCUCAUCAAGUUGGCCAAAGGAUGAGAUGGUUAAUUAUUAGGAGUGGAUAUUUUUGGCCAAAGAUGGGAGAAUUAUGCGUUCAGUAUGCAAAGAGUUGUUUAGCAUGCCAAAAGUAUGGUCCAAUACAAAGGGCGCCAGCACGAGAGAUGGCAUCUAUUAUUAAACCUUGACCGUUCAAGAGUUAGGCGAUAGACCUGAUAGGGAAGAUUUAUCCCCCAUCGUCCAAGCAACAUACUUUUGUUAUAGUUGCAACCGACUAUUUCACCAAGUGGGUGGAGGUGGUACAUUUGAAAGAGAUCACCCAAAAGAAUGUCAUAGAGUUUAUCCGUGAUCACAUCAUUUAUAGGUUUGAAAUUCCACAAACGUUGAUGGUAGAUCACGGAACAUCUUUGAAUGGGGAUCAAGUGAACAAAUUUUUGAGCGAGUUUGGGGUUAAAUUAUUAAUUCCACACCAUAAUACGCUCAAUCCAACGGGCAAGCAGAAUCUUCUAAUAAGAUUCUAAAAAACAUCAUCAGAAAGAUGAUAGAUGAAAAUGCCAGAAAUUGGCAUGAAUGUCUGAACUAGGCCUUGUGGGCUUACAGAACAUCACCUCGGUCAAGUACCAAAAUUACUCCUUUCCAACUUGUUUAUGGACAGGAGGCCGUUUUACCUAUGGAAAUCAAUGUGCAAUCGAUUAGAGUGUGCUUGCAACAUAAGUUGAAUGAUGAUGAGUAUACCGAAUCACUAGUUCAAAAUUUAUUGGGGUUGGAUGAAUUAAAGUUGGACGUCUUAGAUAGAUUGCAAGUUCAAAAACAAAGAAUGACUAAGUUUUAUAAUAAAAAAGUCAUAGCCAAGUCGUUCAGUCUGAGUGAACUAGUUUGAAAGACGAUACUCCCUUUGGAUAGCAAGGAUCCAAAGUACUGGAAGUGGUCGCCCAAUUGGGAAGGACCAUACAAAAUAAACAGUGUGUUGCCCAAUGGAGCGUAUCAUUUGGAAGAUUUAGAUGGCACCAAGCACGUGAGAUUCAUUAAUGACAAAUAUUUGAAAAAAUAUGUUCCUUCUUUAUGGGAAUGUGAACAGAUAAAAGCAUAAUCAAAAUAUGUUGAACGAUUAAGGAUAACAAGGUCAGAGCGAAAUACGUUCAAAUAAAGUCAUUUAUUUUCAAACGUUCAUUACAAAGAUGCAAAAAUACAAAUAAUGGAUGCUCUACAAAUUACAAUUAAAAGUAAGCUAAUCUCCCGAUCGAUCGCCGAAUAAGAAAGUGGACUGGCCUCGCACCGCCUUCCUAAAUGCAUCGCUGCAAUGGUGGGAUCGCCGAGUAAGAGGGUGGACUGGCCUCACCACCUUCCUAAAUGCAUCGCUGCAAUGGCGGGCAAAGAGGCUGAGAAGCACUCUCAGCAAGCAAGGUGGCCCGCAAGCAUCCCAAAAAUUGCCUUCUAUCAUCGACUCCUUGUAAAGGACAAAGAGACGAUGGGAAGAACUUUGAUGGUAAAAACUUUGCUGCUGGCCAAAAAAUAUUUCCUAUACCUCCCACACCAAAGGUGACAUCAAGGCAAAUAGUAAAAUGGGCGGACCAAACAAUCCAUUUUUAUAGAAAGACGAAGGUUUCGGAUCGGAUUGAUUGUCAGAGUGCCAAACAAUGGCAGCAAAUUGGUUUCGAAGAAGAAAAUGAAGAUGAAGAUGGAAGAUGGAAAGUGCGAAGCAUACGUACAUUUAUAGGGGGUGGAGAUGAAGAGACAGAAUAUGAGCAGCCACAUUCUGCCUAGUAAAUGGAAUUAANNNNNNNNNNNNNNNNNNNNNNNNNNNNNNNNNNNNNNNNNNNNNNNNNNNNNNNNNNNNNNNNNNNNNNNNNNNNNNNNNNNNNNNNNNNNNNNNNNNNNNNNNNNNNNNNNNNNNNNNNNNNNNNNNNNNNNNNNNNNNNNNNNNNNNNNNNNNNNNNNNNNNNNNNNNNNNNNNNNNNNNNNNNNNNNNNNNNNNNNNNNNNNNNNNNNNNNNNNNNNNNNNNNNNNNNNNNNNNNNNNNNNNNNNNNNNNNNNNNNNNNNNNNNNNNNNNNNNNNNNNNNNNNNNNNNNNNNNNNNNNNNNNNNNNNNNNNNNNNNNNNNNNNNNNNNNNNNNNNNNNNNNNNNNNNNNNNNNNNNNNNNNNNNNNNNNNNNNNNNNNNNNNNNNNNNNNNNNNNNNNNNNNNNNNNNNNNNNNNNNNNNNNNNNNNNNNNNNNNNNNNNNNNNNNNNNNNNNNNNNNNNNNNNNNNNNNNNNNNNNNNNNNNNNNNNNNNNNNNNNNNNNNNNNNNNUUCAACGUCGCUUUAAAAUCGGCAGAAAGAUUGAGCGACGGAAGUGUCAGUGCUUGCUCCAACUUCGCAUUCAAAUGCUCAAGUUUAUCCUUGUGUCUGGCAGCACUAGCCCUACCAAUGUCCAUAUCCAUGAAGGACACAUACUCAAAUAUCGACUGCUUGAGGAACUUCAAAUCUUCCUCUGAAGAAGCAGCAAGACGAUCAGAUGGAGCAGGACGAGAUGUCUUUACUUGUCCCUAGGAAACGAACAAAUCUUGGAUAGAACGUACAAUCUUGUCAGCAUCCUGCAAAGAAAAUUGCCAAUAUUGAAGACUCUCACUACAACGAACAAGAUGGAAAUAAAAGUGAAGCAAAGAUUACCUCAUCAACAAUCGUGGAAGAUGGCAUAUCCUCAGCCAAAUCUGCCACCUGUGACUCCUCCAUUCGUGAGGACUUCCCCUUAUCUGAGCGAGAAGAUGUUACCACAACGGACAGACUCAUAGGAGUAUCUGCAGAACUCAAAAGCAACAAAUCAGAAACCAAUAGCACAAGCAAAGGUAAAGCAUCAAAAAAUUGAAUUACCUUCUGCUUCGAUGUUUGGGGGGUUGACGCCCUAAGAAGAAGGUGGCUCAUCCAUGGGUUGUGAUAAGGAUUCUGGGACUGAAGAUGUCUCUUUAAACGUAGUCCCCUCAUAAACCGGUUUGGAUGAAGCGGCCUUAGCGGAAGAUGAGGGAGCAGGAGCUGCCGAUGCCAAAGCCUUUAAAGGAGAAGCUGAACUUUUCUGAGAAGUCCAAAUAAAUCAUUAGCACACAGAAAAGUUUCAAGUAUGGAAAAGUAUGUUUGUGAGUAAACCAAUUUAAUUACCUUCCUCCUGAUGAUAAGAGGGGCAUCAUCAUCAUCCUCCUCCAGAAUGGGAGAUGCUGAGGCUGGCCGUUUGCGGCUUGGGGCACUCUUGGCUGUAGUAGGCUUGGCAGGGAGAGAAGAAGAUAGACGAGCAGACUGCUUAGCACGACAAGGAGGAGAAGGACUCCGGAUGGACAAAGGAGUGACUAAAACAGGAGGAGGGGAAGAAAUGCUCGGCUGGUCCAGUGAAUGAAAGGCACGAUUGGCAUCAGUCGCAAACAAUUUGCGCUUCACUGAUGGCCAGAGCUGUUCAAAAAGAGGAUGGAUGGCGUGACUAAAAUUGAAGGGGGCUAAUGAAAAAUAGCUUGUUAAAAGAAGAUUGCGAGCAUUUAUAGCCUCUGCCUCCGCCUUAUUAAUAAUAUGAAAGCGGUCAAUCAAGUUCCUUGAAUAGCAAGAAGGAACAUGCCAAGUUUGGCCGAAACCAAGUUGGCGAGCAAAAAAUUGGGGAGCAUAAAUUUCUACCCCUACCUUGGCAUUGGUCCCAGUUAAAAUAUCAUGAAAUAACUCCCUCCCGGUUAAAAACUGGAUCCAAAUGAGCAGGGAGGUGCUCGCGCUGUCUAUAGUGGAGGGGGGAUGCACAUAGUUUGGAGUCAAAAAAGGAGGAAAAGGAAAAAAGGAAGGGAUUAAAUCCAAAGAAUAAAAGAAUGAAGAAAUGUCCCUUCUAGAAAUAUUUACAGGAGCCAAGGGCUCAAUGGCUAGCCCAUAGCAGGUAGAAGAGGAGCGAGAAAUUGAUGGAGCACCAAACAAUGGAAAAUAGGAUCUCAACCACAGUUGAGUUAACCAAAGAGGUCCACUACCAGUGGGAGAUGCAUCAUUCUUCAAUUGAGUUUGAAGAGAAGUCAUGCCUCUAUAAAGGGCAGCCAAAAAGAAAGAACAUAAAUUUAAAGGCCUGCCACGCGCCAAUUCGUGCGCUAUGGGUAAAUAACUCGGGGAGGGCUUUAUGCUUGGCACACACAAAACAUAUUUACAAAGCCAAACUAGAAGAAAAGCCACUCGCUCAGUAUGGGAAGGCUCAACGCUCGAAUGAUUGUGAAGGGUUUGCAAGCUUGAAUAAGACUCGGUGUAGUUUUUACCAAACUUUGGGGCGCCACCAGAAACCAAGAUACCAAGAAAAAUGGUAUCGCCCAAAGGUGGUAGGUUCACUAGGGCCCCAACAUCCCUUAAAGUAAUAGACAUGGGACUAAGAGGGAAAAUAAAGAUAUAAUACUCGGAAGACCAAAAAUUCAAAGCGAUUGAAAAAAGUGUUGAAUCAAAAGUAGGGGGUCGAAUAGAGAUUUCUAACAAAUCAGAAAUCCUCGCAUUAUCAAAAAGUGCCUUAGUAGGACUAUGGCCCAUAAGACGAGCAUGCCACCUACGAAAAGCUACAUCAGAUUUAGGCCAAGUGCGAAUACCUCUUUCGCGAAGUGGCCCCAGUGGCAGAGAGUCUAGAAAUGGAGGCCCUUGAGUACAAGGAAACAGCUGGCCCACCGCCGCCUGUUCGACUGCCUCUGCAUUGUUGAAGAAAGGAUCUAGGUAGAACUCAUUGAGUUCGACAUUGGCGGGCGCGAGAAAACUCGGAGUUAUGUAUGGACGACUCAGAAGUUUCUGAAAGUUAUCAAAAUUAAAGGAGUCGCCAGCUUGAGAUUGUGAAGUAGCCAUUAGGGAUGAAACGGAGUUUUUUCAGAGUUACGUAGCAGGGAAGCAAAAGAUGAACAGUAAAUCGUGGGAGAGACGCGAAAAAGUGAGGCGUGAUUUAAUGGUACGGUGAAAUGGCGUGUUUGGAGGUUAUAAGGGUUUGCAAAACGUCGCACCUUUUCAAGCCAUGGAAGAAAAUAAUGAUUGAAAUUCUUGAAAAUUUCGAAUUUUGUUGGAAACACAAAGUGAAUAUGGCAAAAUUUAAUAAUUGGUAUUAAUUCUGCCAUAUUGGGGGGUAAUUGUUGUCGCAUAAAAAUUCAGCCCAAAUCGAACGACCCAAGGAAUGAAGCCCAAUUGGAGAGUCCCCAAAUCAGAUAGUCCAAAGAACGAAACCCAAUCAAACAAUUCAAGAUGAAGGUCCAAAUAGGGAGGCCCAAGAACGCGGUAACGCCAUCGUCCAAGUUUGCAAGUCGCCCAGAAUCUGAGCGAAUGGAGUGCCAUGCAGUCGCCCAGAGCUGUUACUCUAUUCUCACCCAAAUCUUCAAGUCACCCAAGGUCUUAGCAAACAUAAAGUGUUGUGGUUAUCAAGAAGUGCAGUUAUCAAAGCAGUUAUUAAAGUAGCCCUAUCACGUUCCACGAUUCAAGGAAUUCAAUCGAAAACGGUUGAACGACAAAGAGUAAUGGUAGCAGUUAAAAAAGGCAGUUUCAUGACAAGUUGGCCAUUACGAGGAAAGUGGGCAGUUGUAGAACGAUCAAGCAGUCUUUAGGCGGUUGAUCACAAAGAGAUCAUCCAUGAAAUAUAAAAGGGAGAAAAGACAUAGAGCAAAGGACCGAAUCAAAAAACUCUCGAACAGAGAAAGUUUAAUUUUAAUUUCCUUAGCUUAGAUUUAAACACUUCUUUCAGUAACUCGUGUACUUGCGCCCCUUGGAGGCAUUCUGUUUUUAAUUUCCAAUUGUAAAGUCAUCGCCAAUAAAAGAACACCUCUUUUUGAGACUUUGUUUCAAGAGGUUUGUCCCUUACACAAUCGUCUGAUCCCUUUUAAUUGUUAGCGACUAACCCGCGCAAAACAUAUUCUUUCUAUUUGACAUAGUUUUCUCUUGACUUUCUUAUUUUAGUUUCUUUGUUUCUGUCCUUCUGUCUUUUUUCCAUUUCUGAAUUCUAGCGGUGGGGGCUAUUGGGGAAAAAAAAGAACGUUUCAGACGUGCAAGCAUCAUUGCGAAUGCAUGUAUUGAUGCACACAUGCAUUUAAACAUGAUGGAGAUUACAGUUGAACAUCAAUGUGUUUGUUUAUUUCAGAGAAUGGAAUGUGGUUGUCUGCAAUCCCAGUUUGGCAAUUUUGUUUCGUUGAAGAGUGAAAGGAGGAUAUCUCCAAAAAUGUUUCUUCUAAAAUGCAAUACACAGCAAGGUCCCAGUUUGCUUGAUUCUUUGAAGGUUCCCUCCUUGCUUUACAUUCAUUAGUUUCUUGCAGCUCUAAGGUUAAAUAAUUGAUCAUAAUUAACCAAAACAAGCAAAUUAGUUUUUUCUUCGCAUCUGAGUAUUUGUUUUUGGGCUCUUAUUACAAGUUUUUGAGAUGCUAUUGUUGUUUAGACUUGAGACGUUUUUGAAAAGUUGAAAGAGACAGCUUACACCAGCAUUAAUGCAUAAAGAAAUUAAUAUUAAUAGCACCCCACAAUUGAAAAGAUCUCUUCUAAUCUUUUCAAUUUUGAAGUAUUUCAACUUUCAAAUCCACUUCGAGUAUACUUUCUUUCUUCUGCAAUGGUUCAUCAUAAUCAUCAUCAUCAUCAUCAUUAUUAUUAUUAUUAUUAUUCAUCCAAUAUUUAGCCUCCUGACUGAAGUUGAUUUAUAUGGCUAAUUAAAAUUUGAGAUUUGUCUUAUGGAUGUAGCUCAUAUUCCCACUUACAGCACAAUUGCAGUAGGCUGGCAAUUCAACUGAAGUUUGGAAGUCCAUCAAAUCACUUGAUUCAGUUCCGAUAUCCGGUUAUCACAUGCUAUCAUCCUCAAAAUGCAGAUUUUCCUCUCUGCUAUUCUUAAAAAGAGAAGAAGCCAUUUCCUAUACCCAUAGUAUAGCUACGAGGUGCUGCCCGAGAGAGGCUGACAAAGAGUAAGGGCCAACAGAAAAGAGGUACCCCUCCUCCAAAACGAGGGUUGGUGGUUCAAAAGCUAAUUCCUGUUGCGUACGGGGUAUAUAAUGCAAGAGUAACAUGUUGGAAUAAUUCCAAAUAUG